rnacentral:lncRNA from 1 species
UCGGGAGCGGAUCUAGCCAUCUAGGACUAUAUUUAAAUGGGGCACAUGACCUUCUUACAUUAUGUUUAAUUUUCCAAGUGUGACAUUCAUCAGAUUUUAUACUAAUUACUAUAGGAAAAGUUAAAAAUAAGACGGGGCACGGGACCACGUACCAUUGGCUUUGUGCCCGCACCUGGAAGUGGUUGAUAAGUGGUCCAUCCAUUUCAUGCUCAUUCAAAUGAGCUAUAUAUGGUCAUUUUUGAUGGUUUAGAUUAAGCUAGAUAAUAUCGCAAGAACGUAAUUUUUUUUCUGGUAAAAUCGCAAGAACGUAACUAUAUCAAGCUGAUAAAUCAUAUGAAAAUAUUCAAAAAAAUUAAAAAAAAAUAAUAAAUCUUGUGAACAUCUAAUUAAAGGACGACUUUUGAUCCCAAAGAAAAAAACAUUUAUCUAAAGGAUAAAAAAAUGUUUUCCAGAACUUGACAACAAAGUUACAUUCGUUGUAACUUGUAACUAUAUUGUUUUUAUUAAAAAAAAAACUAUAUUGUUUUUAUUGGAACUAGGUAAGGAACCCGUGCGAUAUCGCACGGGAACUCAUUUUAUAAAAAUAAAUUUUUGCUACAUUUUAUAUAGUUGCAAUUGGAAAAAAUAUAUGUGUUUCAAAUAUCUUACAUAAAUGCUAUAUUAUGAUAAUAUUAAAAUAUAUAUGUUUUAUUUAUAGAUUAGCUGUAAUAAAAUUACAAAUAUGUAUAAAUUUCAAAUAAGAUAUAUGUCUAAUCAUUAAUUAAAUUUAUAGCCUCAUUUACAAAGCUAAGAGAUCUUCUUUGAUAAUAAUUUGUUUGAAACCAUAUAAAAAUGUAUGUACGGUAAAAAAAUGAUUACAUGGUACAGUUACAAUGUUUAGAAUUAGGAAAAACAUAGUUAUAGUUAGGAAUGAAUAUUUAUUUAUAAAUGAAAAAGAUAAGUCAUAUUCUAAAACGAGAGUUGUGUUAGUUCGGUAGUAUAAAUUACAGUUUCAUUAAAAAAAAUUGAAAGUUGGUUGAUUAAGUAGUAGAAGCUAUUUUUAGAUUUCUUAAAAAAUAUAGGAUAUAAAAAAUUAUCGUAUAUAAAAUUGAAUAAUUAAGAAAAAAUAAAUACAUCCACAGACUAUUUUUCAAAAAAAAUGAAAAGAUAUAUCUUUAGAUAUUUAUUUAGACUAUUUAAAAGUACAAUAAAUAGCAUAACCAGCUAAUAAAAUAAACAUCCAUUGAAACAUAUACAAAUUUAAAGAUGAAAAUAUACAUUUUUAAAUAUAUAUUUUUAAUUCUGGUAUUAUUAGUAAUUAUAUUAUUAUUUUGGGGUUGAUAAUGAUUAGAUCACACAUGAAAUCACCUUUUUAAAAACGUAUUUGACAAAUAAAAUAUUCUUGUUUCAUGUUUAUAUAUGUUUCUUUAAAAUCUCGAUGAUCGUUUAAAAAAUUGAUCUUUUUUUUAUAUCUACUGUUUAUUUGUUUCUUAUUGUUAUUUGCUAAUACCUACAACUUCUAUAUAGAGAAUUGAGGAUUACAAUGGUUAACAACUAAAAACUGCAAUAGUUAACCAAUAGUUAUAAUGAUUACCACCAAAGGUGCAAUGGUUCUUUAUUAAAGUCUUACCAAAAAUAUUUGUUACCAAUAGUUGGAAGGAUUAGCAUUAAAAGUUGCAAUGGUCACUGCUAAAAUCAACCAAUACCAAUAAUUGCAAUAGUUUAUCAUAGUUGCAAUGGGCCAUCACCAAAAACAUAUAGUAUUAUGACAAUAAUUUAAUUAUGCAGAAAACUAAAUUACCUGAAUACUUUAAGACAAAUUUAAAGAUUCUUUGAAUGUACAUAAAAUAUGUGUGAAAUAAAUGAAAAGGCAAAUCCUUAUAAACUUAUAUAACUUUUAGGAUAAAAAGACACAUCUUUAAACAUGUUAAUGACCUCUUAGAUAACAGUACAAUGUUUAUGAUGAAACAAUACAUUCUUUCACAUUUUAUUUUUAUUUCUAUUACUAAACCUAAAUAUAUUUCAUAUUUUGACAAGGUAAAAUCACAGAAAUUAGUUCUUCAGAAUGAAAAGAUUUAGAAAAACACCUAAUCAUAACCAACAAUUUUUUACAUAUUAUAAUACAAAAUUUUAUAAAUGUAUCAAAAAAUUAUUCAACUUAUUCUGGACCUAAAAAUAUAUUCAAUCAUGUUUUGAACCUUAAAAAUAUUUACAUUAUUUAUUUCCAAUUUUUUUGUAUCAAAUAUUUCAUAAUUAAUAUAUAUUUAUUUAUUUCCAUUUGUAUCAAUUGCUAAUGCACACAUAUUGAAAUUUGUAUGUGUGUUUUAAUUUAUUAUCGUUAACUACUUUUAUUAAAAAAAAUAUUUUACACUUUGUAUAAUUUAUAAUUUUGUAUAAUAUAUCUUAUUUUUGUUUUCAAAGGAGUAUAUGUGUCACAAAAGAUAGAAAAACAUAUCCUUAAGCUUUCCAUAGAAUAUAAAAACUUAUAAUAUAAGUGAAAUUGAGAAAAUAAAACAAAAACAUAUCAGUAAGAAGUAUUUUAAAUGAAAAAGACACAUAGAAACAUAUCAAUGUCCAUAACUCUUUAUAUAGAGGAUUAAAGGUUGCAAUGGCUGGUUAACACCAAAAGUUGCGAUGAUUUAUCACCAAAAGGCUACUAAUACCAACAAUUGCAUUAGUUCAUCACUAAAUUAUAUCUACCAACAGUUACAAUAUUUCAUUUAAGAAGUUGUAACUGUUCCACUAAACACUUGCAAUGAUUCACUCAAAUCGCUAAUUAUCUUCUCUAAUUUACGUGUAAUAUUGAUGUACUAAAUAAAUAGCACAUACAACAGGCCGAUGCAUAAAAUAAAAAUGUUUUAACCAUACAAUUAUUAAGAUGAAAAUACACAUUUUAAUUGACAAUUUCUUUUAAACUCAUGCACUUCUUAAGAUAAAAAAAAAACACAUUUUAAUCAUUAUUUUGCCAGUCUGGGCUUGAGUUUCGGUCAAAGUUAUUUACAUGAUAGAUCGUAACAGAUGAUCGGUUCACCCAUUUACAUUAAUCGGAAGGUAUUCUAAAUUCGGAUCACGCAGUUUGGUAGCAAGUCCGCUCUAUAACACUAAGUUUGUUCUUUCCGUACCGAUCGUUAAGAUAUAUCAAAAAAAAAAACAUGCAAUUCUUAGGAAGAUAGACAUGUUGUAAGAUGAUAAUAUUUAUGCAUAUAUAAAAACAUAAAACAUUUUUCUUACCGCUUGAAUACCAAAUUUUUUUUAAUUAUGAACAUACACAUAUUAGACAAGAAAUAACACCUAAAAAGUUACACAAUUUAUAGGAUAGUUAAAUAUAUAUUUAGACAUUUUAAAACCUAUUCAUUUUAAGGAUUAAAAGAUACAUCAUUAAAUUCUCUUGAAAAUAUCAUUUUUCUGAUGAAAUACACAUUUUAAAUAGUUUAUCGGUACUUUCUAGUAACCAAACUUAAGCAUUGCACUGGUCACAUUGCAAUAAUUUAUUAAUAGUUUCAUUUUUAAAUGGACGUUUUUUUCUGAUAAUAUAAUGAAUUAUAUACUUUACAUUAAAAAGUGUUUGGUAUAUUACGCAUGAACUCUAAACCAUAUUAUUUGGUCUAAGUUUCAUUAUCAAAUAUGCAUAAACAAAUAUAGAAUCAUACUUACUUUUUUUUAGUUAUUUAUCGAUUAAGUAGUUAUCCUUAUAUGCUACUAAAUGAUGUUGUCAGGUAUCUAUCUGAUAUACCACAAUAGAAAAAAGUCGUUCUUAUAAAAAACUAUAUUUAAAGUGUCAUUUCCAGUUUAAUCAAUAUAGAGUAAAUAUUAAAAAAAAAUAUAAGACACGCAAAAUAACCUUCUUUGUUGAAGAAUAUAAUGGAAUAAUGGAUCUUUGAUGAUGCAGAAAUGUAUUAGACACUUUUGGUAUUUUUGAAGGCAAAUCUAUUCUACUGAAAAUUAAAUGUGAAUUAUUAAAAUUUUGAUUUACGUUUACCGAACGUUUGCUCAUUAGAUAAAUGGAAAAUACAAGAUAUACUGAUUCAAGAAAUAAAAAACUUGUGAUGACAAAAAAAAAAACUUGUUUGACGACUCCCCAACAAGUACGAUCAUAAGGCGAUCUUACAAAAAGUAACCGUUUAUUCUUCGGUGGCUGUGUCCGCCAGAUCUCUUUAUUCAAUUGCUUCACAUUUCUUUCCACAUCAUGACUAGCAUGCAAAUGGCCAAGACGAUGUUGCUCUGGGAGACUUGGGGAUUGUAUUCCUCUGGCUUUUCCAAUUGCGGCAAAAAUGGUGAAUUUCAUUUGAUCUUGCCAUUGAUAAAUUUGUGGCGACCUCCAUAUUGGCGUUUGAUGUUGGUUUCCGUUUUCGAUAAGAUUUUUCUCUCCUCAUGGGAGAGCAUUUUUCCGGCACAAAAUCUCCAAUUCCAGUGGUUUAUUGAAGGUGUUUGUCCGCCAAAUUUCAAGUUUGACGGUUUACGUCCGGCGGUUUGACGUUCUGUUUCGAUUUCAAUCGAACAGAUUAUAACACCGGCAUGGCCACCACCGUUGAAGAUGGUGUUGUUUUAUGAACCAUUCACUGGGCUUUUGUACUCACCAGCAACCAACCCUAGUAGUUUAGCUAAGCUAUUUGGGUUGCUUACGUAUGGGUGUAUUGGAUGGACGGUUCGUCCUAAGUUCGCAAGGUCUAAGGAAGAAUUGUCUACGGCUUCUCGGCUUUGGCUUGAGUUCUUACGGCUCUUUAGCAAUAACAAGAUGCGAUUGUGGAAUAUUAGUGAUACAUUGGCAGAUUUGUGUUGGCAAAUCAUAUUGAUAGUCCCGUUUUUCUUUCACGCACUAAAAAAGGCGCAAUAUGAAUGACAGUGUUAUUCAAGAGUUUUGAAUUCGGGAUGAUGAUGACUGCUUCUAUGCCUAUUAGUAUGCUUUGGUCGGAAUCACGUCGAGCAUGGCAAGAUAGAUGGUGUUCGAGACAAAUCAAGAUCAAUUCAAAGGUUCUUUUAUCAUCAAAUACGUUGAUACGGCGGACUAAUUAAUAUCAACAUUGAACAAGAAAUAAAAUUCUUAUAAAGCACACAACUUUUCAACAUUGUUUGGGUUUGCUAUUAUUAAUUGUUUUUUUAUUCAUCAUUUUAUUUGAUUUGUGAAAAUUAUGCUUUGAAAAGGCAUAGACAUUAGAUUAUUUAUAGAUUUUCAAAAAUUUGUUUGAAGAGUCACGUCUUUUGAAUUAAAAGGUUGUGUCUUUUUGUAAUAAUACUUAUAUGAAGAGUCACAACUUUUCAAUAUAAAUGAUCACAUUUUUUCAAUAUAAAUAGUUACUUUUAAAUAAAAAGACACAAUUUUUAAUUGUUGAAAAAACACAACCUUUCAACAUAAAUGGUAUUCACAACCUUUGGAAUUAAUUGGGAUUGCUAUUAUUAGUAGAUAUAUUACAUUCUUUAGUUAAAAAAAGUUAACUAAAGGAUCGCUUAUCUCGCAUUAGCUGAAAAAUACGGCCACCACGUGGCAUAGUUAUAUUGUUUUUGUUGGAAUAAAUUACAUUCUUUAGUAAAAAAAUUUAACUACAGGAUCGCUUAUGAAAAUUAUCUCACAUUAGCUGAAAAAUACGGCCACCACGUGGCAUAGCGAGGCCCGUAUACGGUAUGACUAGUUGACUUGUUGACUCCAACGUCCAUAACCGCUUUUGCUGACGUGGAAUCUUCGCGCGUUUACGCUUCCGCUCUGUUUUGAUCUUUCUCUCCUCCGAAACUUUCCCGGAAAGCGAGAGAAACUGCGAGAAAAUCAGAAAACACUAUCAGUGCUCUGCAGCAUCCCUACUCAUACACUCUCUCUAUCGUCUCUUACCUUCCUAGAGAUGACAACCAAACAGCAAUCGCGAUACCUCGCUGCAGUUAUCUUCACGGUGAUGCUGUUUACGCUAGCUGAGACCUAUACUAAUCCACUCGAAGGUAAUUAUCCAGAUUCUCACCUGAUUCUUGGGGUUUAAAUCGCG